ACUGGACCCAACUGGACCCAAUUGGACUCACUGGACUAACUGGACUCACUGGACUAACUGGACUCACUGGACUAACUGGACUCACUGGACUGGGACCAAUUUGUCUGAGUAGAAUCCAACUGGACUGAACUGGGAGGUGGAGGGUUAAAGUGGACUGAGCCAGGGCUGAACUGGUCCUUACUGGUCUGAGCUGGUCCGUGGAACAGGAAGUGGUCUGGAUGGACGGUUUCCAGGCGUACGGGGCGGGGAAGGCGGGCGGAGAGUUCGACCCCCUGACCUUCAUCAGACAGCCUCAGACCGUGGUGAGGAUCGUCUGCUGGCUCUUCUCCAUCGUGAUCCUCGGCUGCGUCGCUAAUGAGGGUUACGUUAACCGCCCCGAAGAGGUGGAGGAGUCCUGCAUCUUCAACCGCAACCAGCACGCCUGCAACUACGCCGUCGCCAUGGGAACGCUGUGCUUCCUCUGCAGCACCGGUUUCCUGGCGCUGGACGUUUACUUCCCUCAGAUCACCGGCGUGAAGGACAGGAAGAAGGCCGUCAUGGCCGACAUCGCGGUGUCAGGUUUCUGGUGUGUGGUCUGGUUCGUGGGGUUUUGUUUCCUGGCCAACCAGUGGCAGGUUUCUGAAGAGGAAGACAACCCUCUGAAUGAAGGCGCAGACGCUGCCAGAGCCACCAUCGUCUUCUCCUUCUUCUCCGUCUUCACCUGGGGAGGUCUCACUCUGCUGUCGUCGGAGCGUCUCAAGAGAGUCUCGUUUGAAGAAGAAUACAACAAACUGUUCAGCCCGCCACUCGCCUGAAACACACACACACACACACACACACACACACACACAUCUAACGACACCUCUCUCCUUCAGCCUCCUUCUCCUUCCUGUUUCCUCAUCAACUCAGUCUGGACUCUGAUUGGCUGCUCUAAAGUGCCUGUCAUCCAAAGUGCCUUCUGUUUCCAUGACAACAGAGUGAUGUAGUUUUGUGUCUGAGAUGAUUUAUAAACGUCAUGUGAAGUGUGUUAUUAUUAUUAUUAGUAUUAAUUAUAUUAUUAUAAUUAUUAUUAUUGUUGUUAUUGUUAUUACAGUGAUGCCAUGUUGUGUAAGAUGAUGUCAUCAUAUAUUCUGAUUAAUGACGAUGAUGUAAUGAUCUGUGAUGAAAGAUGAAGAUAAAUGAGUGGUACACAAAGAGUUAAUGGACUCUGCGCUGAUGUCUCUGAUGUGGAUCCAGACCUUCUGGAUCAGUUUACCUGUUCUGCCUUUACCUGUUGAUUCCAGUGAGGUGAACUCACCUGUCCACCUGCGCUCCAGUGUCUGCUGGCCGUCCACAGGUUCAAACUGGGAGCUGAUUCUGUCACCUUCAAUCACGAGUACGUCGACCCCAACCAACAGGAAGCUCUGGAGGAGGCCCCGCCCACCGAGGAGUAGAGGGGGCGUG